ACACGCAUGACACACUGCAUAUCAAUAAGCGGAGGAAAAGAAACUAACAAGGAUUCCCCUAGUAACGGCGAGUGAAGCGGGAAGAGCUCAAAUUUGAAAUCUUCAAGGUUCUACCUUGACGAAUUGUAGUUUAUAGAAGUGUUUUCUGUUAGUAGAGUGGCAAAAGUUCUUUGGAAUAGGACAUCAUAGAGGGUGAGAAUCCCGUAUUUGGUCAUUCUUUCUAGCUUUGUGAUACACUUUCAACGAGUCGGAUUGUUUGGGAAUGCAGUCCAAAAUGGGUGGUAAAUUUCAUCUAAAGCUAAAUAUUGGCGAGAGACCGAUAGCGAACAAGUACCGUGAGGGAAAGAUGAAAAGAACUUUGAAAAGAGAGUUAAACAGUACGUGAAAUUGUCAAAAGGGAAGCGUUUGACACCAGUGUUGUUUUUCCGAAAAUCAAUUACGAAUGUUUUGUUUUUAAGAAGUUAUGACUUCAUCGGUUUGCUUCUUUCUUUAUGAAACUUUCUUAAUGCACUUUUCGGUUAACAAGUCAACAUCAAUUUCUUUUGUUGUAAAAGGGUAAGAGGAAGGUGGCUUACGCUUCGGCGUAAGUGUUUAUAGCCUUUUACCUCUGCAAUCGGAGAGAUUGAGGACAGCAGCGUAGACUCUUCGGGGUUAGAUACACUUGUGCUAAGCUAUAGCCUUGUAUAGACAACUUGUUGACUAUGCUCAGUCAUGUAGCUUACUCGCUUGUGCUAUUUUACCUACGCUUAGGAUGUUGAGCGCAUGUCUCUCUCU
rnacentral:rRNA from 1 species